rnacentral:rRNA from 1 species
UACGUAGGGUGCAAGCGUUAAUCGGAAUUACUGGGCGUAAAGCGUGCGCAGGCGGCUUUGCAAGACAGAUGUGAAAUCCCCGGGCUUAACCUGGGAACUGCAUUUGUGACUGCAUGGCUAGAGUGCGGCAGAGGGGGAUGGAAUUCCUGGUGUAGCGGUGAAAUGCGCAGAUAUCAGGAAGAACACCCGUGGCUAAGGCGGCUCUCUAGUACGGUACUGACGCUGAGACGCGAAAGCGUGGGGAGCGAACAGG